UGCCAGCAGCCGCGGUAAUACAGAGGGUGCGAGCGUUAAUCGGAAUUACUGGGCGUAAAGGGUGUGUAGGCGGAGAUAUAAGUUAGAUGUGAAAGCCCUGGGCUCAACCUGGGAGUUGCAUAUAAUACUGUAUUUCUAGUGUAUGAGAGAGGAGAGCGGAAUUUCCGGUGUAGCGGUGAAAUGCGUAGAUAUCGGAAGGAACACUCGUGGCGAAGGCGGCUCUCUGGCUCAAUACAGACGCUGAGACACGAAAGCGUGGGGAGCAAACAGGAUUAGAUA
rnacentral:rRNA from 1 species